AAAAGUAAAGACAUUUACGACUGGAUAAGCAGAGCAUUCCUAAAUUUAAUUUACUUGCAAUUUUAAUACAAGUUCAUUAGCUAUUAUGACAUGAUCACUAACCAAGAAUAGAAUAGAUAUGACAUUAAAUGAGAUUUCAUGAGACUUGAGUUCUUAACUGAUGGAGAUCAGAGUAUUUUUUAUGAUAUUUAUGAUUUAUUAUGACUGACGUAGGAAUUAUAUUGAACGAAUUAUAUUGAAUCGAAAGUCAAUAACUAUGAAAAGAUCUUUAUUUAUUGAAUAUGAUUUAGUCACUAAUAAUAAGGAAACUAUGUAAUUUAUGAUUAAGCAUCAGGCUAUUGUGCUUCUUGUCUACGGCAUGUACAUAUUUUUUCUUGUAUUACAUGCAUAUGACCGAAGCAGAUACCAUUUAUUGGUUUCUGCAUUUUUGAACUUUUAGUUCUAAUUGGAAUUGAGAAAUGUGUAGGUGAUAACAUCAUCCGUAGACAAGGACAGAGAUAACGAUUAGUUUGACCGUUUCACCGCUACGUGGCGAUAGUGCUUGAGUGUCCACAAAGAUAAGGUAUAUGAACCUCAUGUAUCUUGUUUGUAGUGUUCAUAAAUCAACCAAAUACAUUCCUGAGAACAAAUAAAAUUUUUUGAAUAGCGUUAAUACUUCUUGCUUACUGACAGUUGGAGUUACCAUGUCCAAAUCAAAGUACUUUACACUAAUUUGUAAAAAAAAUUAAUAAAGAGGAAUAAUUUGUGAACUUUUGAAAUUGCAUCAUACGUUUAAGACUCCAUUGUAUAUUUUAUUUACGUUUCAAAGUGUAAUAAUCAAGAUUUUCAAAUUCCGUCAUUACUAAAUAGUUCAGACAUCAGACCAAGUAGACCAAAGACCAACAGACGAGUAGACCAAAUGUGAAACAUAUUUUUUCAUGGGAUUCUAGGACCUUAUUACCAUUUUCGUGACACAUCUUGUCAUAUCGAUUUAGAUUACAGCGCCAACGGUGGAAUACGCAACAUACUUCCUACGAUUCUCGAAAAUAUCGAUAUUUCUCAUGAUCGAGUUUUAAGCGGCAAACAUGGCGGAAGGAAGCACACCUAGUCUAUAAAGAGGAAAGUGUUGUCCAGAAAGUGUUGCCCAGAAAAAUCAUUCAGAAAGAAGUAUCGUCUAGAAGUUCUCAGUUAACAUUUCAUGCAAAACGCGCGAUUACAGCGCCAUUGGUGAUAUAUGGAAACACUCUUACGAUUCUCGAAAAUAUCGAUAUUUUUCAUGAUCGAGUUUUAAGCGGCAAACAUGGCGGAAGGAAGCACACCUAGUCUGUAAAGUGUUGUCCAGAAAAAUCAUUCAGAAAGAAGUAUCGUCUAGAAGUUCUCAGAUAAAAAGUUACAUCAAUAGUUGUUAGAUUUGUGUUUGCGUUGUGUAUUUUUAUAAUAAAUAAAUGCAUCAACACUGUGCAUUUUUGGCUUCAACUCAAGCGUUGCAAAUAAACAUUUUCGAUUAAACAUUGUCGAAACGUGCCUGUUCGUUCAAGAUCACCCCAUCCCCUACUAUUUUCUCAAUUGCUAGACGAGACGUGUCGCGAAGAGUCAUUCGGCCACCGAAUUUCGUGACAACAACACGCAUUACGUCGCAUUAGAUUAUUUCUUGAUUCCAAAGAUAGGACACAUAGACGCUACGAUUAUUAAUGGACAAUGUGAUAUUCUUUGACAGAAAUUUGGUAACAUUUCAUUUAUUUUAGAUAUAAACAAACGAUUGAUGUGUAAUUAAACGAUUCGAAGCAAAAUUUUACACGCGUUUUUUGUAAAUAUUAUUUCUUAAGUACAUUUGGCUGUGAAAUUUUGACUUGUGAAACAUUUUCGAAUAUUUAUAACACUUGACGUGAUAUAUUAUUAAUAUAUAUUCCUACUCUAAUAACAAGCAUUCAGAAUACAAUACUUGUUUUCCAUUUACAGUAUUCAGCAUUGAGAAAUACUUUA